CCUACGGGAGGCAGCAGUGGGGAAUAUUGCACAAUGGGCGAAAGCCUGAUGCAGCAACGCCGCGUGAGCGAUGAAGGCCUUCGGGUCGUAAAGCUCUUUCCUCAAGGAAGCUAAUGACGGUACUUGAGGAGGAAUCCCCGGCUAACUACGUGCCAGCAGCCGCGGUAAUACGUAGGGGGCUAGCGUUAUCCGGAAUUACUGGGCGUAAAGGGGGCGUAGGUGGUUUCUUAAGUCAGAGGUGAAAGGCUACGGCUCAACCGUAGUAAGCCUUUGAAACUGGGGAACUUGAGUGCAGGAGGGGAGAGUGGAAUUCCUAGUGUAGCGGUGAAAUGCGUAGAUAUUAGGAGGAACACCAGUUGCGAAGGCGGCUUUCUGGACUGUAACUGACACUGAGGCACGAAAGCGUGGGGAGCAAACAGGAUUAGAUACCCCUGUAGUC
rnacentral:rRNA from 1 species